rnacentral:other from 1 species
UGUCUCCUGGGAUGUACGCCAGUUCAGUAAUGUCCCUGGCCGAUGCUAAUCUCCAAGGGGGUUGAAUUACAUUGCUAUUGCGCAAGCUCGGCCUGAACCGAGAAGCCUGCGGCAGUGAUGAAGCCCCCGCCCUGAACUUUUCGGUUCUAGGGCUCAAUCUGAGCAGCGGCAUUUUGGGAGACAC